rnacentral:lncRNA from 1 species
GCAUAUUUAUUAGUUCAUCAAUUUUAGAACAUUUGAUGAACACAUGUAUUAAUCCUCAUGUUAAUGUAUUACAACAAACCCAACUUUAACCCAAUAUGGGAAGUAUACACCGAGAACGCAAAUUUAUCAAAUAUGGCUGGUUGCAUUCCCUUGGAAUUGUGUAAUUUAAUCACAUGUCUAUAUCUAUGCAUAUAAGUACCCAGUGGGAUAUAUGCAGAUAUGAUUUAAUUUUAGACUUAAGAGGCAAAACAUGUUACAAAUUCAUUAACCUUAACUGUCAUCUUUUAAACAAUAAUCUAAUUGUAUUAUUAUACUAACUUUUUGACAACAUGUGGCUAAUAAAGAUGCCAAAAUCUUGGCUUGAACACACCCUCAUUAUUGUAAAAGAGACAAACUGCUUGGUGUG